GACGAACGCUGGCGGCGUGCUUAACACAUGCAAGUCGAACGGUGAAGCUCCAGCUUGCUGGAGUGGAUCAGUGGCGAACGGGUGAGUAACACGUGAGCAACCUGCCCCUGACUCUGGAAUAAGCGCUGGAAACGGCGUCUAAUACUGGAUACGAGAAGGGUCCGCAUGGGCACUGUCUGAAAAGUUUUUCGGUUGGGGAUGGACUCGCGGCCUAUCAGCUUGUUGGUGAGGUAAUGGCUCACCAAGGCGACGACGGGUAGCCGGCCUGAGAGGGCGACCGGCCACACUGGGACUGAGACACGGCCCAGACUCCUACGGGAGGCAGCAGUGGGGAAUAUUGCACAAUGGGCGAAAGCCUGAUGCAGCGACGCCGCGUGAGGGAUGACGGCCUUCGGGUUGUAAACCUCUUUCAGCAGGGAAGAAGCGAAAGUGACGGUACCUGCAGAAGAAGCACCGGCUAACUACGUG
rnacentral:rRNA from 1 species